CUAGGUUUUGUCUGAAUAAAAUUUCAGGAUUUAAUUCACUAAGCUGUUAGGUAUAUUCAUUGUGGUGGAUAUGGCUGGGCAUUCAAAUCCACAACUUAAUAGCAUAUUGGUCUGUGAAACCAAAUUUGACCUAACACUAAGAUAUUUCCAUAGAUGGAAAAAUGCCUUUAAAUUACCUAUUAUUAAUCAUGAUAGGGGGUUCACAACAGUAAAAGGUAGUUUAAUAUUGAUAUGAAAACUUCUAUGACCAAAUUUAGAAAUAAUUCGUAAUUUUAAUGCAUGUGCUACCAUUUAAUGGGAAAUCCUGUAACAUGCUUGAUAUUCCUACCAAAAUGCUAACUUUGUAAAAUGCUUCAUUUAGAUGUAGUCUUUGCACCUUUAAAUUCUGGAAGUUCAUUCAAGUAGCAAAGUUUAGACUACAGAAACCUAGAAGUCCCAACUGUUGAUAGACUUUUUUUUUGGGAAAUUCUUCUUUUAAAGAUGACAGCAUGUUGAAAUACAUAAGUGGUAUCUGUAUUCUAUUAAGAGAACAAAAGUUUCCCCAUAAUGCAAUAUCUAUAGUUAAAUACAGAGCACAAUCUAAAUAAACAAUUAUAGUUUUAGGUAGCUUUAUUCCUUUUAAGUGCAACUUUUAACAAAUAACUAAUUAUCACAGUGUAGUCCAAAAUAUAUUUUCUUCAUCUGUGUCUUGACCAUGGUCAUUCAAACAUUUCAGGGGUAAGGAACCCCUGUUGUAGAACAUUUUCAAGCAUUUUCUUCAAUGUGGGGGAGGAAUCAUGAAAUGGGAUUCAAGAUUUGAUCACUCAUUUAUAGCAGUUACUUCAGUGUCUCUAUUGAUACGAAGGUGAUUUUGAAACAAACCAAUGCCAGAGUUUUGGUACUUCAUAAACAUUUGUCAAAAGAUUUCUACAAAUUCUCAAUUAUGUAGAUCUUCUGCAAUGCAAGUUAUUUUAUAUGUCAAAGUUAACCAGAUUUCUGAGAACCAUUCUCACUUGUGAAGAAAAUUGUCAAACAUUUUGAGAGGUGUAGUUAUUGUUCUAGGUGUACAGUUCCAUCAAUAGGGUUUCUUUUUUCCUAGCAAAAGAUACUAAUUUAAAUAGCUAAAAUGUUUUACAGCAUUUUUCUUUAGAACUUCUGUUAAAAUCCAAAAGGAUUGGAAGAUCCUAAGCUUAAUAAUCAGUUGUAUGAAUGAUUGCCUCAUUUAUCAAAGCCUGAUUAUAUUUUCACCCUGUCUGCAUUUGUAUGCCAUUAUUUGAACUCAUUUGCAUUUUAAACAUUAAAAACAUGCUUGUAAUAAGGCUAUUAUGAGCAAAGUGAAGAAAUCUAUGAAAAUAUUUUGAUAACAGUACAAAAGAGUUAUUAGGGCCUAAUAAUUGGAGAACUUAUGCAAGCAAAUCUUGGAACUUCAUUACGGCUUUUUUGCCUGGCCGAGCAUGAUUUGGGUUCUUGCAAUUCUUAACAAAUGAGCCAGAUUUUUUAAACCUUGCACAUAAUCCUUUGAUUUAAAUUUGGACUAUUCUCAUGAAUAGUAUUCAUGAGAGUGUUAAAACUAGACUUUCUGCCACUGAAAUGAACAGCUAGCUGGUAACAUUCUAAGGCAAGAUCUCUGGGCUGCAUUUUCCCAUUUCUUUGAAAAUGGGAGCUUCUGUUAACUUAGGGCUAGUAUUGAGCUGCUUUGGAUAGCAAAUUUGAUGUGUAAUCCUGCUAAAUAUAGACUGGCUCACUAAGGUGCACCAUUAUUUUUUGCAACUGUUGGAAUAGAAGAACCUCAGUAGAAAGAGGCUGUUAAUGCCUCUAAUCUUCAUUCCACAAUGAAGGUUUAUCUGAUAAGUAUCUAUGUAUCUGCUAGAAAAUGGCAAAUUGCUGUGGCUGACUUAAUUUUCUUCUGGAAAAAUAUUUUAAUGCCUUGCAAGGAGGUUACCAGAAGCUCUGAAUGACAGUUCAGAAUGUAUUGCACUACAUUUUCUGAUGAUAUCCAGAAACUGCAAGUGUAACUUCUGUUUUAACUCCUUCCUUUUAUUACCUGACUAUCAGGGAAGCGUGGUUGAGGCUGCCCUGACCUGACAUUUCAUGAUGUCGACUUGCUAGGUGGGGUUCGCAGGGGACAGUAACCAUUGGAGUUAUCGGCAAAUGAUUUAAAAGGACUAUUGUAGCAUGGAAAGAGUGGCUAACUUUUCAGCUGCUAUCUCAAGUUGCAUCCAAGAAGGCUGAGUGCUGCAAAGAGAAAGUUGUAACACAGUUCAGAGUGAUGCUGUUUCCUAACCAUUGCUGACUCUCGAUGCAGCUUCUGCUUACCAAGAGCCUUACCCAGCCUGAGUCUGGUUGAACAUUAAAAACAGAAGCAACCUCAGUAUCAGUGACUUCUUCUUAAGAGUCCUAAAACCUGAAGCUUAUCAUAGAUAUUUAUACAUGGCAUCAUAUCUGACCAACAUUUUCAUUUUGGCUUGCUUAAUAAAUCUCUGCAAAUGGAUUCUCUGAACAUGCCAAUACAUUUUCCAUACAUCACUUUGGCACAAAUGAACACUGCUUUUUUUCUACUAGCAAUGCAUCUUGUUGAUUAGGAGGUUAAGCAAAAUGGUUCUUCGGUGUUUCUACUUUGGUUUCCUGGGUUCCCUAAUUUGCAUUAUAUUAAAUGUAUUUUAUGUUUGCAAUUUCUGAAUGCAAAGGAGCUGUUCCUUAAAUGCCUACUCAUUGGCAGAUUUGCUAGGUUCCUCAAGGAUUUAAGUGCACUAAAUUUUACAGGGGUAUGUAUAACACCAGUAACUUCCUUUCACUCCUUUGCAGAGAGCCUUAGACAAAAAGAAAGAGAAUAGAUUCAGUUCUUCUGAAGAUAAUGGUAAUGAUGAAUAUAGCAGAACAAGGGUUUUCUUCUUUAAAUUUCAUGCUACUUAGGAAUCAAGGCAGUAAAAUACUUCUACAAAUUCUCUUUACUUUUUAAAACUUCUACAAAUUCUAGACUAAAAGCCUAGUUCUCAACCCAAUCUGCCUUUUUUUCUUUCUUUUUAAAAGUGAAAUCCACACUUACAAAUAAGUCUCCUUUGAAUGAAUGGAGAGAGAGGAAGGGAUAAGUCUUUCACGAUGAAUGUGGUGUUAAUUCCUGUAUUUCCACCCCACUAUACCUGGGAAUAUGAAUGUCUAAGAAAAAGGUGUUCUGCUUUUUUACUUAUAGGAACCUGUCUUUAACAAAGGAAGUUUGCACAGUAAAAACUUUUCUAGUCCUUGCUUACACUCCAGCGUAUUGAGACUUAGAUCUUACAGAAUGUCAGAAAUUUGCAUAUAAGGAGCAACACAAACUUAGAAUGAUACUUAGUCUGACUCUUUGUGGGACAAUUUAGAAAUUGGAUAAAUCAAGUAAGCAAAUGGAAGUAUAUAUCUGUAUGCCCCAAUGUGGUAACUUGGCUAACAUUUUGAAAAUUUCAGCUCUAGGGAUUUUAUUAUAUUCUAUGGCUAGCUUUGGGGGAGCUUUUCUACAUCCUUUCCUUGUUUUUCCUUAUGUCAUUAAUUGCUCAUAUAACUAUGCUCUUAGAUUUUAGUCAAUCAGGUGCGAGUACUGGUAAGAAUAGAAAUUUCCUCCUUAAGCCUUUCUGAAUGUGCUACUUAGAGAAGCUCAUACAGGUUAGCAGAGAAUGAAUGAGGCAAUUUCUUUAUAGUUUCUGAUGGUUAUAAGCAGUCUUGUGGACAUCUUGGUAAUAAAAAUAAUAAACAUCGCA